UACGAAGGGGGCUAGCGUUGCUCGGAAUCACUGGGCGUAAAGCGCACGUAGGCGGAUUGCUAAGUCAGGGGUGAAAUCCUGGAGCUCAACUCCAGAACUGCCGUUGAUACUGGCGAUCUUGAGUCCGGGAGAGGUGAGUGGAACUGCGAGUGUAGAGGUGAAAUUCGUAGAUAUUCGCAAGAACACCAGUGGCGAAGGCGGCUCACUGGCCCGGUACUGACGCUGAGGUGCGAAAGCGUGGGGAGCAAACAGG
rnacentral:rRNA from 1 species